rnacentral:rRNA from 1 species
AUUGAACGCUGGCGGCAGGCCUAACACAUGCAAGUCGAACGGUAACAGGAAGCAGCUUGCUGCUUUGCUGACGAGUGGCGGACGGGUGAGUAAUGUCUGGGAAACUGCCUGAUGGAGGGGGAUAACUACUGGAAACGGUAGCUAAUACCGCAUAACGUCGCAAGACCAAAGAGGGGGACCUUCGGGCCUCUUGCCAUCGGGUGUGCCCAGAUGGGAUUAGCUAGUAGGUGGGGUAACGUCUCACCUAGGCGACGAUCGCUAGCUGAUCUGAGAGGAUGACCAGCCACACUGGAACUGAGACACGGUCCAGACUCCUACGGGAGGCAGCAGUGGGGAAUAUUGCACAAUGGGCGCAAGCCUGAUGCAGCCAGGCCGCGUGUAUGAAGAAGGCCUUCGGGUUGUAAAGUACUUUCAGCGGGGAGGAAGGGAGUAAAGUUAAUACCUUUGCUCAUUGACGUUACCCGCAGAAGAAGCACCGGCUAACUCCGUG